rnacentral:rRNA from 1 species
UGGGGAAUAUUGGACAAUGGGGGCAACCCUGAUCCAGCAAUGCCGCGUGUGUGAAGAAGGCCUGAGGGUUGUAAAGCACUAUCAGUGGGGAGGAGGCUUUAAUGGUUAAGAGCUGUUGAAGUGGACGUUACCCACAGAAGAAGCACCGGCUAACUCCGUGCCAGCAGCCGCGGUAAUACGGAGGGUGCGAGCGUUAAUCGGAAUUACUGGGCGUAAAGGGUGCGCAGGUGGUUUUGUAAGUUAUCUGUGA